rnacentral:lncRNA from 1 species
GAUUUUUUUCUUAUCCAAAUCAUGUUGAGGUCAUCGGGAGCUUGUACGCAUGCGGUCUGAUUACACGCACCCUUGAGAUUAGACCUUUCUACAUCGAUUGCUAGUGAAAUGUGGGCACGUCCAGAGAGUAUGGCAACCUCUCCUGGAACAGUUCGCUUCACAGUGGACAUGCAGAAGGAUUCUUUUAGUGGGUGACUGAAGGAAGCCCCAGCAGUCAGCAGUGGCAAGGAGGCUUUGUCGAUGCCAAACUCACUUCCUGAAAAUUCAUGCUGCG